UGGCGGCCGUAGCGCGGUGGUCCCACCUGACCCCAUGCCGAACUCAGAAGUGAAACGCCGUAGCGCCGAUGGUAGUGUGGGGUCUCC
rnacentral:rRNA from 3 species